rnacentral:rRNA from 1 species
CCUACGGGAGGCAGCAGUGAGGAAUAUUGGUCAAUGGACGCAAGUCUGAACCAGCCAUGCCGCGUGCAGGAAGACGGCUCUAUGAGUUGUAAACUGCUUUUGUACGAGGGUAAACGCAGAUACGUGUAUCUGUCUGAAAGUAUCGUACUAAUAAGGAUCGGCUAACUCCGUGCCAGUAGCCGCGGUAAAACGGAGGAUUCAAGCGUUAUCCGGAUUUAUUGGGUUUAAAGGGUGCGUAGGCGGGCGGAUAAGUUAGAGGUGAAAUCCCCAGGCUCAACUUCGGAAUUGCCUCUGAUACUGUUCGGCUAGAGAGUAGUAGAGGUAGGCGGAAUGUAUGGUGUAGCGGUGAAAUGCUUAGAGAUCAUACAGAACUCCGAUUGCGAAGGCAGCAUACCAAGCCACUUCUGACGUUGAGGCACGAAAGCGUGGGGAGCGAACAGGAUUAGAUACCCGAGUAGUC